UACGUAGGGUGCAAGCGUUGUUCGGAAUUACUGGGCGUAAAGCGCGCGCAGGCGGGCUUAUAAGUCGAUUGUGAAAUCCCAGGGCUCAACCCUGGAACUGCAGUCGAAACUGUAAGUCUUGAGUGCCUAAGAGGAUGGCGGAAUUCCCGGUGUAGUAGUGAAAUACGUAGAUAUCGGGAAGAACACCUGAAGCGAAGGCGGCUAUCUGGUGGUGCACUGACGCUGAGGCGCGAAAGCGUGGGGAGCAAACAGG
rnacentral:rRNA from 1 species